rnacentral:rRNA from 1 species
UACGAAGGGGGCUAGCGUUGCUCGGAAUCACUGGGCGUAAAGGGUGCGUAGGCGGGUCUUUAAGUCAGGGGUGAAAUCCUGGAGCUCAACUCCAGAACUGCCUUUGAUACUGGCGGUCUCGAGUCCGGGAGAGGUGAGUGGAACUGCGAGUGUAGAGGUGAAAUUCGUAGAUAUUCGCAAGAACACCAGUGGCGAAGGCGGCUUACUGGUCCGGUUCUGACGCUGAGGCGCGAAAGCGUGGGGAGCAAACAGG